CACAACAGGUGUGCAGCCCCACCAAGCCCCCGAGUCUAAUCAGUUUGACCGGGGCCAGCUGAGGCUGGUUAAACCAGUCAUCAGCCAACCAAACUCCCAGUAGGGCAUGUGGUACUGGAAUUAGGUACCUAGCAUGGGCUUGGCAUGCAUAUCAAAACAAAGGCUAAGCUCAGUGUUUGAGCCUAGCCCUGAAUAAGUUAAUUGUUGCCUGACUCUGGUCAGAACGACCUCAGUAUAACGGUUAGUGAACGCUGGUGUUUUGGAGAGGAGGAAUCAAUGAACCAGAAAGCCCAGGCUUUAUUCCAUCUCUGUUCCUUCACACAGGGCGUCCCCACUAUUUGAGACCAAGCCAGGUCCAUAGGAGAAGAAGGGCAAAACUACCGUAAGCCCCCUCUGCCUGACUUUACAGCAGCCAAUGUCCGUUCAUCGGCUGAGGCAGACAGCAGCUUUGCAUUUCAGCCCCAAGACUGCCAACAGGAGCUUUGUACUGGAUGCCCUCCGGAUCCAGAUGUUUUCCUCCUGUCUCCACCCGCUGUAGGCUCCUCACAGCUGUUCUUCGUCUCCUACUUAUCCCCUACAGGACUCUGCCAACGUCUCUAGAUGCUGUCCCGUUAUGUUUUAAUGGGAGUCAACUACGUUCCAGAGUGUUUAAAACCCAGCUGUUCAGACAGGACGUUUGACGGUGUCUCUGUUAAAAC
ensembl:lncRNA